rnacentral:rRNA from 1 species
CCUACGGGGGGCUGCAGUCGAGAAUUUUGGGCAAUGGACGAAAGUCUGACCCAGCAAUGCCGCGUGCGGGAUGAAGGUCUUCGGAUUGUAAACCGCUGUCGAGGGGGACGAAAUAUGACGGUACCCCUGGAGGAAGCCACGGCUAACUACGUGCCAGCAGCCGCGGUAAUACGUAGGUGGCGAGCGUUGUUCGGAUUUAUUGGGCGUAAAGGGUCCGCAGGGGGUUGAUUAAGUCUGACGUGAAAUCUCUGAGCUCAACUCAGAAAAUGCGUUGG